AUGAUUUGUCUAACGUUGUUAAAGCCACAGCUCAGUCACUCUCUUAAAUUCUGUGCUCUUGCCUCUACUCCCCAGCUUCACCUACCCCCAACCACAAUGGCUGAUGUGCAAAGGAGAAGUGGAAGGAGGAUCACCUUUUUCAUCUCAUGCUCAGAUGAGGAUCAGAGGCAGCUGCAGCCCUGGAUUACAGGCCAGGGGACCACUUCUUCUGGCCUCCUUCCUGUGCUCCUCCUUUCAGAUCAACUCUUCACCCUAAUUGGCUGUAUGGCAGUGGCAGAAGCAGUGGGUCGCCAAAGUGGCUGGGAAGAUGGCAUUGUGCCUAGUAGCAAUGUCAGCCAGCCUGGGGAUCAUGAUCCCAGAGGCAGGAGAACCAGGGAGCCAGUGGAACUGAGAGGUGCUGCCCCCACCUGUUCUGACUGUCCCUCCAUGGCUUGUCAGCCAUCCAGCACCUCUAAUCAUGCUGUAGUUUGCAGCGCCACCUGCCUGUGGCCAAGCAAACUGCAGUGUGACAGCACACCUGCAUCUUUAUUAUAUGUAUUAGGGGCUGCACUCCUGCUCCCUUUGCUUGUUAACCCCACCUAUCCCCACAACCUCCCUCCCCAAAGCCACCCACCCCCACCAUUUACUCCUUGUCAAAACCACUCACCCCAUCCCUUUCCACCUUGCCAAGGCCACCAGGACCCCAUACAGCUUGCCCAAACUACCCCACCCUGUUAGACCUUGCCAAACCCCGCCCACCUGCUCACUGCCACCUACCUACUUGGCCACUUUCCCACAAACUCACCUGCCUGUCUCCCUCUGCAGUUCCUUCUGCCUCACCCUUUGAUGGUGCUGUGAUGGCCCAGAAGCUCUGACAGCCCCAUUUGUCAUCCUGCUGUAGUUCACAGCAGUACCUGUCUGUGACUAAACAAAUUCAGUGUGACAACAUUCUUACAUUUUUAUUAUAUUUAUAGCAAGACAGGUAGGUAAAAAGGGCAUGUAACAAAGCUUACAUAUUGGUCUGCUGAACACCAAGGAUAGUCAGUGAAGUGCCCUGCAGAUGUUUCAGGACUGCAACUCCCAUCAUCCAUGACCACUGGCAAUGCUGGCUUGGGGCUGACAGGAGUGUAGUCCAGCAACAUCUGGAGGGCCCCAUGUUGACUACCUCUCCUCUACACUGACUGGCAGUGGCUUUCCAGGAUUUCUGACAAAGGCUUUUCCCAACCCAGGCUUGAAAUGCUGGGGAAUAAAUGUGCCAGGAAGGGAAUGCCUUCGGCAUGGAAAAUAUGUCCUCUGCCACUAAGUCUUGGAUUGGAGCCUCACACUCUGCUGACUCUGACCUCAAACAACACCCUUAAUGGUGUCCGGUGGAAGACGACAUAAUGCAACACACACAGAACCUACCGUGUAUAGUGUAACGGCCAGGCUGCUGCUAGUCAUACACAAGGAGGAAAGUUUAAAAGAAUUCACUUUUCAUCUAUUUCAGGAUAAAAACAUUAGCAAAAGGAUGAAAGCAAUUCCUAAUAACUUUUGGCAGUAUGGGGAUCCCUUUUCCACAUGGGAUUGGGACUCAAAGUGCACCUGCUUGGAAAUAAGUCCCAUGGAUGUUCCCUUUGAGCAAACCAGCUCAGGCCUGUAGUAUUUAGCAAUCUGGAAAGAUGGAAGAUAAUUUGAAAGAACAAAAAUAUUUAUGGCAUAAACAAUAACGGAUACUAUGCCAUUCUACAGAGCAUAAUAGAGUUUUAAUGUAUUCCUGCUGUCGGCAUUGUGUAUCUGAGUGAUAAUUUUAUGUGACAGUGUAAUUAAAUUGGAAAACAAUUCCCAUUUCCUAUGUCUUUUAUCUAUUUAUCAUCAUUUAUUUCUUUACUUUCACCCUCCACCAUAAAUAUUACUGUAAGAAGAGUUAAAUAAGUUAAACCAAUGCAAUUACUUUUACAGAUUGAAAUUAACUUCAUAUAUCAAUUUAUUCCAGUUUCCCUGCUAUUUGCCCUGCAUUUGUUGCAGUAUAUUUAUGGUGUCACUGCGUGGUUUCCAUGUUUGCAUUCACUUUUUGACGAAUGAUCUGUGUGUUAAAAGCUGACAUUUUAACAGUAUUUUCAAACAAUUUCAUUCAUUAUCAAAUAACCAUUUAUUAUACUGUGGCAAUUUCAAACCGUUUACUGGACUCCACUGCACAUUGCUAAACAAUGAUUAAUCAACCAGCAAGCAAAUUUUAAUGCUUAUCACAGCAAAUAGAGAAAGUAACAUUAAAUAGUGACUUGACUAGAGCUGGGUCUAAAUUAUUGUUAUUUUAUUUUAUAAUUAUUUUUGAUGAGUCAUUCAAUGCAAGCUCCUUUACAUAUGCUUUUCAAAAAACCAAGCUAGAUAAAGCGUUAGGUUAAGCAAGGCCCCAUCAGACUCAAGGCUCUGUUCUACUGCAUUUAUCUGAACUCUCUCUGUGUGGAAAGCGAGACUUAAGUCUACACCUUGCCUUCAACACCUUCAGAUGUUUUAUAUAUGCUUCAACCGUCCCAAUUAACUAUGAAUUGUCCAAUUGUCCUUAGUUUUCUGUCCUGGAUAAACCACAGCUGUGGGUUUGUGUGUAGGAGACAGGCAGAAAGAAAGAAAGAAAGAAAGAAAGAAAGAAAGAAAGAAAGAAAGAAAGAAAGAGGGGGGGUUAGGGGGCAGAAAGAUGCUGGGGAUUCAGCACCCUACACACACACACACACACACACACACAAUCCUCAAGAAGUGAAAUCUCUGGGCAAAACUGGAAGUGAAAGCGAUCAGCAUUUGUAUGAAUUCAUGUCUUGAGUAGCAGGUUAAACUGAUUUGUUUGCAGAGCAGCCUGAGUAGCAUCAACAGGAAUGCUAUUCCACAGAACAUGGGCAGCCACACUAAAAGCCCUCCCCGCUCUUAGUGAUUGCAGACCAAGGUCCUGAGAUCUUCGGAACUUGCAGGAGAGACACUCGCACAGACCACAGUGAUCUACUUGGUGUGUAAAGGAUAAGGGAGUCUCUCAAGUAACCUGGUCCUGAGCCUUUAUGUUAAUUCCAGAAACUUAGACUUGGCCCAAGAAUGGAUUUACAGCCAGUGGAAAUCCCACAAGCAAGUUGUUUUAUGCUGGGAGUGGUUUGCCCCCCCCCCCCGCAAGCCACUGAGUCACAGUGUUCUGUGCCUGCUCCAGCCUCUACACCAAACCCAAGGGUGGCCACCCCUCCAGCAUCUUGCAGAGAUACAACCAUGGUCCUGAGGUGUGAUGCUAACACCUCUGGUUGGUGAACUUGGAGGGCCUCUGCUAGGGACAACUGAUAAAACUAGUCUAGAUGGACAAGUAGUCCAAUUAAGGAUAAGAGCAGCUUUGUAUGCUCCUGUAAUCCCGCUUCAAAUUUGUCCUUUCAAUCAUCCUUUAAAUUUGUUCUUAUUGGUAGGAUGUGGGGUUUUGAAGCAUAAUUAGUAGAGACAAUAUGACCCUCCCUGUUGAUAGACACAAGCAAAACAGCACCCAGCUGACUGAGUAGAAAUGGGUUUCCCUUUUUAUGUCAAGGUUAAUGAGGAAUUACUCAUUGCUGCCUGGGAAUUGGCAAAGAGGGGGAUAAAGAGCUACUGAACUUAGGGUGAAAGACUCUGCAGCCACAGACUCUGUCCCCAGAAUGAGCCUAAAGCUUGGCUAUCAUUUCAUAAUUAGCCAUGUGUUUGUUGCAACACCAGAGUCCUUUACAAGCUUAACACAUUGCUAAUUACAUUAACUUUGCAUACAAAAGGAGCAUUGGGGAAGCCCAGAUGGGCACAAUGGUGGACCAAUUACAAGUCCCCACUGCAAUAUUUAGGGAAGCAACUCUCUGAUAGCUACAGAGAGCAUGAGGCCACUUUUAAAUUAAUGCAAACAUUCAGAAACACAAGAGAGACAAACAAACAUCACAUCAAUGACUGAAUAGGUGGAAGCGACACUAGACUAACAAGGAGGGGAUUGUGGCAGUUUAUUCUUGGGAAAAUAAAACCAGGGAAAGAGAAUAACAGGCAGUUUGUUGUAUAGUAACGCCUCGCUUUGGCCCACUUGGUCGCCCUAGUUCAUGGGAAGCCUGUCCCUGGACUGUAGCCCUUCUGUAUCAAAGUGGGGAGUUCCAAGAUGAAAAACUCCUCCAUAGACACACAAAAAUCCCCACACCUAGAAAACCAGCAGGAGAGGCAAAAGGAGCUUUAUCUAUGUGCAAAGAGGCAGGGAUUCCACCCCCUUCCCAGGAGCAUGGCUCCAUCCAUCAGCCAGAGGAAAUGCAGGAAAUUUGCUUCCUCCCUGCCUGCAAAAAAGAUCACUCCAAUUCCAACUGCCAGCUGCCAUAGAGCUGCAGAAGCGGAGGCACACACUAUCCUUUUCCUUUGACCAGGAUACCAAAGGCUGCCAGGAGGCAACCCAAUAUUUGCUUUCCUCUGCCCACUCAAUUCCUUUUGUGUCAUGCCUCUUAGCUUGUGAGCCUGCAGGCACAGGCUAUCUUGUAAUCAUAAAAUACACAUAUACAGCGUUUAGAAAAUUUUAGUGCUUUCUAAAAAAAAAUUAUAAUACACAGGAAUUAGAUAAUUAAGUGGCAGUUAUCAGUCAGGCUUGAUGAUUUCCAUUUCUCAUUUUGGUAAGAGUUACAAAAUUCAUGGAUCAGGGGAGUGCUGUGGAAAUACACUAUCUUGAUUUCAAAAAGGCUUUUGAAAGUCACCCAUUAUAUUCUUGCAAGAAAGCUGGUGAAAUGUGAGUUGAACGAGGUAACUGUUAGGUGGAUCUGUAGCUGGUUGGUAAAGGUAAAGAUAAAGGACCCCUGGACGGUUAAGUCCAGUCAAAGGUGGCUAUAGGGUAUGUUGCUCAUCAGGUCCAGGGAACCAAUGUUUGUCCACAGACAGCUUUCCAGAUCACGUGGCCAGCAUGACUAAACUGCUUCUGGUGCAACGGAACACUGUGAUGGAAGCCAGAGCACACCAAAACGCUGUUUACUUUCCUGCCGCCAGGGGCGCCGACUUAUAAAAAAUAUUGGGGGGGCCCAUACCGGGGUCCUGCCGCUGGUUCGCUCGGGUAGCCGGGAGAACGCAGUUCGAGGUGGCGGUGUUGGGGAGAGACCCUCGCUCAGGGCGCCACGAGACUUGGCGGCCGGCGGCCUAUCUGGGGGGUUUUGGAGCGUAUUUCGGCGGAGCGAUUGGGGAGGAGGGGGCUUGUUGCCGGAUUCUUCAGCUGGGCCGGAGAUCCGCUGCUGGGGGUCCCUGGGCCGAGUUGUGAGCACGGCCUGCUGAAGGGAGAUCCAGCCGAUUGCGCGACGGGGACGGCCGGGGCUCUCCGGCUAGGGCGCGCGGCUGGCUGGCUGGCUGGCUGGCUGGCUGGCUGGCAAGGGAGCAGGUGGGGAGGAGGCGGGGGUCCUAGUAUUGUUUGUAGUGGGAACACAUUAAUCCACUGCCCCAGGCUCAGAUGCUCUCCUGGGAUUCCUGAUUGGGGCUCAGCAGCUUCAUUCCUGUGUCUUUGCUGCUCAGAAUCACCUCCAUCCUGGAUGCUGCUAAAUAAGGGCUGUGAACUUGCAUAUUUGUUGAUAGGGCAUGAUAGAGAGGGAUUGGAGUCUGAAGGGCUCAGGCACUGU
rnacentral:lncRNA from 1 species